CAGCAGACACAUGUGUAGGGACCAACCUAGAUUGCUCCAAUCUAGCUGCCUCCUAAAUCAGCUAUGCCGCAGUGUCGUGAGUUUAGCUAAAUUUAU